rnacentral:rRNA from 1 species
AGUGAACGCUGGCGGCAGGCCUAAUACAUGCAAGUCGAACGGCAGCACAGCAGAGCUUGCUCUGUGGGUGGCGAGUGGGCGGACGGGUGAGGAAUACAUGGGAAUCUGCCCAGUCGUGGGGGAUAACGUAGGGAAACUUACGCUAAUACCGCAUGCGCCCUUCGGGGGAAAGCCGGGGACCUUCGGGCCUGGCGCGAUUGGAUGAGCCCAUGUCGGAUUAGCUAGUUGGCGGGGUAAUGGCCCACCAAGGCGACGAUCCGUAGCUGGUCUGAGAGGAUGAUCAGCCACACUGGAACUGAGACACGGUCCAGACUCCUACGGGAGGCAGCGGUAGGGAAUAUUGGACAAUGGGCGCAAGCCUGAUCCAGCCAUGCCGCGUGAGUGAAGAAGGCCCUCGGGUUGUAAAGCUCUUUUGUCCGGAAAGAAAAGCGCCGGGUUAAUACCCUAGUGUCCUGACGGUACCGGAAGAAUAAGCACCGGCUAACUUCGUGCCAGCAGCCGCGGUAAU